UAUGGCCAUAUCACGUUGACACACCAGUUCCCGUAUGAUCACUGAAGUUAAACAACGUCGAAUUUAGUGAUUACCUAGAUCGGUUAUCGAUUGGGAAUACCAGGUGGUGUUA